UCGCCUGGCCUCCAGCUCCGCCUCCUCCCUAGGGACGAGGUCGCCGGGGAGACCAGCGCCCCGGUUGCCAUGACAACCGGUGCCUUGGGCCUGGCUUUUCGCGUUCUUCGGACUAGCCGGAGGCUCAGGUUGGUGACCAAGCGGCAAAGUUCCUAGCGCCUGUAGUGUGAACUCCAACUUUUAGGCCAAGAGGAAAAUGCAGCCGACGGGCCCCACACUUCUAACUUCAGAAACAGAACUUCAUGACCCUAGGGAGUGAGGAGGAGAGUGAAAAAUGCAUAAGUGCUGGCUCCUCCCUUACCCUUCGCUGCCUCGCAGCCUUGUUUCUAUAUUCUCACCGGGAGCUUUGGACUUUGAAAGGAUGAGGAGAAUAGGGGAGAGGAAGAGCGUGGCUUUGCCAGCUCCCUGCAGCAAUACAGCAACUUAGAAAUGGCGGGGUCAAGGAAAAAACCUGAGUAAGAGCUGUGAUGGGAACAUUGCCCAGGUGAGAAGCAGAAGCGCGAUAAGUAAUCCACCAAAACAUGAGCAGUAAGCCUGUUGGAACACUGGAAUAUGAAAUACGUCUGCCAGUACUUGCUGCCCUGUUUGCAUGUAGUGUUGGAGAUACCCCAUGAACACAGAAUUCCAAGAGACCCAGUGGUGCCUAGAAGUUUAAUGAGACUCACAGCUAGCACAAGGAAUGACAGCUGUAACCCUUAUGAUGGAUGAGGAAAGUGUCAUGCGAGUCUGUGUGAAGAGACCACCAAGCAGGCUUUGUGUGAGCAAUAAAGCUUUUUAAUCACCUGGGUGCAGGUGGGCUG